rnacentral:rRNA from 1 species
CCUACGGGUGGCAGCAGUGAGGAAUAUUGGUCAAUGGCCGAGAGGCUGAACCAGCCAAGUCGCGUGAGGGAAGACGGCCCUACGGGUUGUAAACCUCUUUUGUCGGGGAGCAAAGAGAGUCACGUGUGACUCAUUGAGAGUACCCGAAGAAAAAGCAUCGGCUAACUCCGUGCCAGCAGCCGCGGUAAUACGGAGGAUGCGAGCGUUAUCCGGAUUUAUUGGGUUUAAAGGGUGCGUAGGCGGGCAUUUAAGCCGGCGGUCAAAUGUCGGGGCUCAACCGUAAAAUUGCAGUUGAAACUGGCAGUCUUGAGUACAGUAGAGGUGGGCGGAAUUCGUGGUGUAGCGGUGAAAUGCUUAGAUAUCACGAAGAACUCCGAUUGCGAAGGCAGCUCACUGGACUGCAACUGACACUGAGGCUCGAAAGUGUGGGUAUCAAACAGGAUUAGAUACCCUUGUAGUC